AACAGCCAGCCAUAUCACCCUGUAGCCCAAGACUGGUUGCCCACUGAAGCUAAGCAGGGUUGAGUCUGGUCAGUACCUGGAUGUGAGACCUCCUGGGAAAACUUAGGUUGCUGCUGGAA
rnacentral:rRNA from 1 species